rnacentral:rRNA from 1 species
AUUGAACGCUGGCGGCAGGCCUAACACAUGCAAGUCGAGCGGAUGAAGGGAGCUUGCUCCUGGAUUCAGCGGCGGACGGGUGAGUAAUGCCUAGGAAUCUGCCUGGUAGUGGGGGAUAACGUCCGGAAACGGGCGCUAAUACCGCAUACGUCCUGAGGGAGAAAGUGGGGGAUCUUCGGACCUCACGCUAUCAGAUGAGCCUAGGUCGGAUUAGCUAGUUGGUGGGGUAAAGGCCUACCAAGGCGACGAUCCGUAACUGGUCUGAGAGGAUGAUCAGUCACACUGGAACUGAGACACGGUCCAGACUCCUACGGGAGGCAGCAGUGGGGAAUAUUGGAAAAUGGGCGAAAGCCUGAUCCAGCCAUGCCGCGUGUGUGAAGAAGGUCUUCGGAUUGUAAAGCACUUUAAGUUGGGAGGAAGGGCAGUAAGUUAAUACCUUGCUGUUUUGACGUUACAAACAGAAUAAGCACCGGCUAACUUCGUG